GACGAACGCUGGCGGCGUGCUUAACACAUGCAAGUCGAACGGUAAGGCCCUUCGGGGUACACGAGUGGCGAACGGGUGAGUGACACGUGGGUGAUCUGCCCUGCACUUCGGGAUAAGCCUGGGAAACUGGGUCUAAUACCGGAUAGGACUCCGGACUGCAUGGUCUGGGGUGGAAAGCUUUUGCGGUGUGGGGUGGGCCCGCGGCCUAUCAGCUUGUUGGUGGGGUAAUGGCCUACCAAGGCGACGACGGGUAGCCGGCCUGAGAGGGUGACCGGCCACACUGGGACUGAGAUACGGCCCAGACUCCUACGGGAGGCAGCAGUGGGGAAUAUUGCACAAUGGGCGCAAGCCUGAUGCAGCGACGCCGCGUGAGGGAUGACGGCCUUCGGGUUGUAAACCUCUUUCAGUAGGGACGAAGCGCAAGUGACGGUACCUACAGAAGAAGGACCGGCCAACUACGUGCCAGCCGCCGCCGUAA
rnacentral:rRNA from 1 species